AUUUUAAGAAAUAGAGUUCUCAAACGUAAGUAAUGCAUUUUAGUAGUUGAUGGCUUCUGAUAAUAUGUUGAAUUUCAGAUCCUGGCUGGGAUCGCCUUUGUCAGCUCCCUCCUUCAUACAGUGAUGUGUUAUAGCUCGACUGUGGAGCUUGCAUUUGAUGAAUGCUGUAUUUAUCAGGAUUACUUCUAAUACUCCCCUUCUCUCAGAGUUCCUUACACAACUUGACCAACACACUGAGCAGCUCAUGAAAGUAUUGAAGAAGAAAGGAGGCUCUGUAGGGCGGAAAUGGUUAUUAGUCAGGAUCAUUAUGUCCCCAAUGACACAGGUAUGUUUUGCUGUUGGUAGAAAUAUAUGAU